rnacentral:misc_RNA from 1 species
UGCCUCAUUUUUGUUGAUAGAAUUGUUACAGCUAAAGUAAUUGAAAGAUUUGUGAAGAAAGUUGCAGUGUUAGCACAUUUCACAGUUUCAUAUGUUACUGGAACUAAUACAUCAGUAGAUGCAGUGACCCCUAAAACGCAGAAGGAAACGCUGGAAUCAUUUCGUUCUGGAAAGGUCAACUUAUUAUUUUCCACUGAUGUGCUGAGGGAGGGAAUUCAUGUGCCAAACUGCUCCUGUGUAAUAUGUUUUGAUUUGCCCAAGACAGUCUGCUGUUAUGUCCAAUCUCGAGGACGUGCUAGACAAAAUGAUUCCGAAUAUAUCAUUAUGCUUGAGAGGG